GACUGGGGGAGAGGAGAGAGGAGAAAGCUGUCCCUGGCGUCCCACCUGACCUCCCCGUCUUUACCCUUAUUUGCUUUUAUUGGACAGACAGACAGACUGGUUUUCCAGGUUAAGUGUCAGCAUCUGUCUGUCCAUAUAGUUCUCAGGUGGAAGGUAGGGAGUAAGAAGGAGACAUGCUGAGAGGAAGGCCAGGCACAGUUUCCCAGAGGCUACCUUAUUGAAAUGUUCAGCCCUGGGAACCUGGGGCUGGUGGGGAGCAGGUGGGCAGGAUGGGGCAUGGGCUCAAAGAAGUGGGGUAAAGCUGGAAGGUUUGUCACUGCGUAGUUGGGAAAAGUGGGGAAUGGUGACGCAGUCACUGUUGCAUCUUGUUAGAAGCUCUAGGGGGACAGGUAGUGAGGUUCCCGGGGUCUGUAGGGCAAGCUAAGAGGGCUUAAGGAUGAGCUGAGAAGGGAAGCUAGCAUUUAGAGAUUAAAUGUCAUUCUUUUGGCGUUGGAAAGUUGUUUACCUUGCGCUCUCUGUGUCUCCAUGUUGGCACCCUUCCAGUUCACAUGUGAUGGCCUUCCUUGUACUGCUGCAUCAUUAACUAAGUGACUGAGCUGGCCUUCCAUUGGCCAGGGGAGGGCUCUCACUCCAGACACUUCCUCUGAUUGGUGGGUGGGCCAAUGGCAGGUGAAAACCUUUUUUUGAUUGGCUUAGGGCAAGGUAUCAAAUCUGAAUUUGCAUUUCACUUGCUUAAAGGGGAGGGGGGGAGAAGCCCAGCAGCUUUCUAAAAUCUGUUUAGGGGUGUGCGUGUGCUCCUGUGUUUGUGCCUGCUUUUGAUUGACCAGUCGAAGCCUCUUCCUGUACCUUUUUUAUUUCAGGCACUCUAAGGAAGAGGAGCUCAGAGUGCCCCAAACUUUUUCUGGAGGGGGAAGGGUUAGGGAGAUGGGUGCGCAGAGGGUUGACCAAACUGGAAGAAAAUAUUUGUCCUUUAGCUUGGUUUCAGAAAAAGGAAAAUUUCCAAUCAGCCACACCUCUUUGUUGCGGCAAAAUAAUUCUUGGCUCCCCUGGAAACACAGGGGCAAGGUAGGGCAGGGCUGCUGCUGCUGCUGUUGCCACCACCCUGGGCUUCCUGCUGACUCUGGGCUACUCCCAGGGGACAAGAGAUUUGCAUUGACGUCCGGGGCUGUCCAGAGCUGAGCCCAGUAUGAGAAGGACCUGCCUUCUGGAAGCUGCUGCUCCCUGGUGCUUGGAAAGGUACCACGUCAAGCUCUUUCUCGGUGGUUAUUUCAUUUAUUCCUUACCACAACCCUGUAAGGAGAGUCCUGUGGCUGCUUCUGCAUCAGGAAAACACCAUGGGCAUAGAGCUGGAGCCGUGAGAACUGGUGGUGGCAGAGUGAGGGUUAACCAGGGCACCCUCCUGGGAGCCUUUUCAUGCCAGUGUGUCGGAGCGGGGAGAUGGAACGCUCAGCUGAGUGACCAGGACGUUCUGUCAACAUGAAAGCAGCAAAAACAGCUUGUCGGGCUCAGAGCUGACCCUUAGGCUAGGGUCAUUUUCAGGAAGGGACUGGCAGAAAAGCAGCCCACUGCUGGACAUCGGGGCGGGAGCGACCCCAGAGAGAACUCAGAGGAGUUGAGCUCCAUGAAUACAUGACAACCUCGUGGACACAGCUGAGGAUGAUGCUGGGACUCAGAAGACAGCCGUCAUAUGGUGGGAUAAAUGUGUGCCCGUUUGCGUUUGUUUGGAACAAAAAAAGGAGAUGCCUGGCUCUGUGCAGUGCCGUUGAGUCACCAAUUUGUGUGGUUCUGUGACCGCAGCGCUGACUGAUGUGACAGGACCCUGGUCUUGUCAUUGACUCAUCACGAGGGUGCUUAAUGGAAACCAGCAGCAUAGAAAAUGGGAUGUAACCCCCUCGCUUCCUUCCAGCCUCCAAAAGAAUUUAAUCUGCUGGACAACAAACAAUACUGUUAUAAAACUUGGAAAACAAGAGGGCGAGGCCUCCCUGACAAGGAGAAGGGCAUGCUGGGUAACAGCGAGGGAGCCUGCCAGGCCCGCGAUGGAGCCAGCUGACAGCCCAGUUUGGCUGGGUACCUGGGCGCCUGCCCCUGCCCGGCCCACCAGCUGCGCUAUGCCCAGUCCAGAGGGAGCCCUGAAACCAGCAUUCCCAGUGGCAGGAAGGAGGAGAAUCUGGGCUCUGCUUCCGGCACCCCUCCCCCACGCUGGCUGGAACUUGUGUCAGUCACGUAAGUAGCUGUGACUCAGCACCCAGCCCCGUUGGGAGGGAGAAGCUGCUGCCUGGCAGGAACCUUCUCAGCGUUCUGGAUUUGAACACGUUGCGGUUGCGCAGAACGAGCCAGCAGCCUUAGGUUCCUGGGGGCGAAUGUCUAUCUGUUUAUUCCAUGGGUUUGGUUAUGGAUUUCUUACGCAAAGAUGCCUCUCCUUUCCAUUUCUCUCCCGUGUUAUUUUUUUGGGUGCUAUGCUGGGCAUAGGAUUUUUAGGACUAUAAAAGACACACCAUUUACAGAAUGAAGUAGACUCUCUCUUUGCAGUCUCCAGAUUGUUCUUUACCUGACAGCCUAUGAAUUGUACUUAACACUCCGAUGAUUUUGUUUGGCCUGCACAAUUUUGUUUUGUUUUUUUAACGUGUCUGGUUUUGCAUGCCUGCAGACGAAACGCAGCCUGUCCAGGUCACUCUAUUUCUGCUGCAGGCUUCUCUGUCUUAAGUUUCCUGCUGAGCCCUCAGAGCAUGUGAAUGUGUAGUGACCAGCCUGCGCCAGCCCCCGUCUUCUCCGAUGAACUCUGAGGCCCAUUCCAGGGAAGUUCUCACCGUCUGGGCCGAGCAGGAAGUCAAGCCACUGCAUUCUGCUUCACUGUGUGGUGACCUUUCCUCCACCCUCCAGCCCCUGCCCAAGCCAAGGAGUGUCCUGGGCAUGGGAAGGGGGGGGGGCGGGGGUUGUGGACAAACCUCCAAAGAGAAUGUGGGCACAGAAAUGGACUAGGGCUGCAGUUUGGCUCCCGAAGCCGCCUUUGUGCUCGGUGGCACCUCCCAGGGUGUCAGACUCACCCUUUUAAUGGGUGGUUUUCCUUCCCAGGUAGCCCACCCAGCCCUCCCCCACUGGCCAGUGUGCAUGGUGCCAUUAGGCCCAUGGGAGAGGAUGCUGCCACCUGCCGUUGACAGCAGAGCCCUCAGCACGCUGAUGCUUUCUUGGGCUGCCUUCUUACAGACAGACCUAGGUGGCCCUUGUGCUGGAUGCCAGGGACAGCGAGCCCCUUCCAGCCCCCAGCAAACCACCCAGCCACAUCCAACUAGGGAACAAAAACGCCGGCUUGUUUCAGGUAAGUGAGUCAUUGCUCAGCAGACUUUGAGAGAGAAACCCGGUUCUGUUGGGAAAGUUGAGACCUGAACAGACCCUUUUAUUCAAUAGGAUCGGAAGGGCAAAAGGUUUAGGUACUAAGAUUACUUUCUUCCCCUUCUUCUUGUUUUAGAGUCUUUACAGUGAUGCAUUGUUAAUGAUUUUUUUUUAUGUCUUCUUUCAGAGAACUAAGUAUUUUAGAACUCAAGAGUUGGGAACCCAAACUCUAGUUCAAGCCCCUUAGUUCCUCAAUGACAGUUGCGCCUGUGCUGUGUGCAGCUCCUUCUCUGAACUCCUGGCUGACUCUUCCUGGGUAGCGGGAGAGACAUUAAUUAAUCACCCUGAUGACCACAUGACAUAAGUGUGUCCUGAAGGAAAUGAACUAGAUGCUGUGAGAGGGCGACUUAGCCGCAAGCUGGACUGGGGUUGGAGGGGGCUUUCCUGAGGAAGGGGUGGCUGAGCUGAGACCUGAAGGGGAGGACUUCAGACCACCUGGGUUACCAGGGGAGGGGGUUGACGGGGUAGUGAUGGCAGAGCGGAUGGAGACAGCAUACGCCGAGGCCUUCUGGUGGGAGGAAGUUGGGUUCGCUGAAGGACAUCUGUGUGACAGCAUCUUAGGAAAGGGUUUUAUGGAUACUGACAACGGGAAGUUGCUAAGGAAGAAGCGCGUGGCUGAAGUAAAAAGCAGAAAAGCUGAGAAUUACCAAAUGUAGGUCUCUUCGUUUUAUAGGAUUCAGACCCCAUGGGAAUGGCUGUCAUUUAACACUCACCCCUGACCGAAAGCCCUAGCAGCGACCUGGUUAACGGGGCCCCAACUGUUGACUGCAAGUGUCCUCGCUCUGAGCCCCUGCGGGCAGAGCCGACCCCAGCUCUCCCGUCUGUGACUGAGGCUUGCAAAGCCCCACGGGCUGCAGAGCCCUGGUGCUGGUGUCAGGAUCACUUGGGCAUCCUCUCAGCAUUGUGGGGAGCUUCAUCUCCAGCGGCCCCCACCCCACAGCCAUGCUAUGGGACAUCGCAAAGGCACCAGAGGUGCAGAACCAAGCAGCUGCCUCCACCACCAGGCCCCUUGCAGAACCAGUCGUGCUCCAGCCUCCACCCGAGUUUAAUGUGUUGUAGUCAGUAACAUGCCACUUUCAUGCAGAAAUAUUGCCUCGGAACCACAGCCCCUCACACCCCAUCUUGCUGGUAAUUAAAUUCAAGUACAGAGGGAGAUGAUAGUGCAGCUGUGGAACAGGCGGCAGUGGGCAGAGGGGCAGGAACACAGACUUUAGCAUUUGAUCUGGGAUCUACACAUUUACUAGUCAUGUGACUGCACACGUUAUUGAACCAUGUUAAGGAGCCAUUUCUUCUGCAAAAAUGAGAAUUAUACCUGCUUCAAAUGACUACUGUGCGAAUUAAAGAGCACAACUUGGUGUUCAAAUGUUGCUUCUGUCUCUUCCCUAGAGCAGGUCAUAUCGUUGUUUCCAGGAGUCAUAAGAAAUAUAAGCCCAUAUAUCUAGAGGCCUAAAGAAUUGGUAGGAACAUACAGAUUCUACUAUGUCUCUUUCUCUUGGUUAUGGUGUCAGUGGAAAUAGAGACAUGUUUUUUAGCUUUAAACAACCAAAGAAGAUGAUGUAAUUAGUAGAAUGUGGGAAAUCUAAUUUAAAUACAGUUUGCAAAUCUUAAUUUCAGGCAAAUUUUGAAAACACCGCAAAACUCAGUUCUUGUGUUAAAGGAUUAUCUACUUAAUACAGUUUUAGGACACCAGUUUUUUUGUGUCACACCAGAGGUUAAAUAAGAUUGCCAAUGUUGUGACACUUCCCGCUGAGAAGGCAGAGCCCAUGCUCUUCCUGAACAGGGCACUUGGAAGGCUUGCCCUGGCCCAGGUGAAAGUCACCUUUUUGUAGUGGCUAGAGCCUCAUAGGCAGAUCGAGGGCCUGUUUCCUGAUGAAGUGAGAUAAUAUCAGAAAACAUUUUGCACUCUGUGAAAUACUGCACACUGUGAAAUAAUGCAGGCAACGCUAAUGCAGCAAGGCAUUUUAAUAAUAGCUUAUUAAUGUCUAUUUUAUCCUCAUGUGUAAUAAUUUAUAAGGACUGAUUGUGGAAUUAAACAAGUGAACGUAGCUUAUGAGUUUUGUAUUGCUUCGUCACUGCGAAGCAUCAGCCAUGCCCCCCAGGUUCCCUGGGCAUCCCUGUGGGAGUCUCCUCUGUGCCUUUCGAACGGAUCUUGAUAUCAUGUCACGUCACGACUGGAACUGUAAGAAGACAUUCUCCUCGGGACAGAGGCUGGGUCUUCCCAUCGCAUCUCCCUUCUGUCUUCAGUGAGAUCCUCUUCUUCUGGAAGCUGGUUUCACAUGGUGGCUUAGAUUUUUCCAUCUUUGUAUCUAGCACCAUUUGAAAUCAGUGUUUUAGGAGUAAGAAUUGCAGCACAGCACUGCUCUUGGGACUGGCUCCUCUCCUUCUGCCACCAGAGCCGGUUCAAGAAGGAAGCAACUUGAAAAGCAGAGUACACCCUUGAGUAUGUUGGGUCUGGAGGGCUGGCAGUACGGGGAGGGGGUUGUGUUUGAAAACACUCGGGUUUGUACAGGGCAGAGGGUGUGAUGCUCUUUGUGUUGACAUGUAGCCUCAGCCACCAGCAGUGGUGAUGGGCACCCCCUGGCUUGGGUACUUGAUCGUCACGGGCAGGGGAGAGGGCUGUGUACCUGGAGGCCCGUCCGUGCACAUCCACACUGUCUGCCCGCUCCUGGAUGCCCUGGAACAGACUGGCCACCUGCACUGUCAAGGUGCAGGACCCCCAGGAGCACCGCUGGACCCAUCUCUUACACAGGCUGACCGAUUUCUCCUGGUGUUCAGAGUCUGUUUUUGUCUAGCACCAUUUGAAAUCGGUUAUGAUGUAGGGGGAAAAGCAGCAGCCUCGAAGCCUCAGACCAAGUCUGCUCUGCAACAGCCUGUGGUUUCCUGGAAGAUGGAUGGGCAGAGAGUGGGGAAGGAAGGUGACGCUUCUCCCUGCUAACUUCUUUAACUGCGUUUUUGAUACUUUAUUGCAGAGGUAGGAGGUAGUUUAAUGGGUUUUUAAAAACAAAUCAGUAUAAUAUCUGAGGUCCUCAGCCGCGUUUUGCUGAAAUGUGGUCGUGUUGUAAAUUCUAUAAAUUGGUUCCUUGUUGACUUAUCUUUCUGUUAAGGACAAAGUAUUCAUGUAUCUGAACUUAAUAAAUGUUUUACUACCUUCAA